AUCGGUUCGAUUCGAUUCGAUUUCUGAUCAAAAUCGGUUCGGUUCGAUUUUCACAAACACUAAAAUUUCGAUUUUCAAUUUAUUUAAUUCAGUUCGAUUUUAAACCGAACCGACCGAAUGCUAACCCUAAUCUCUUGUAGUUGUAAACCUCUGAUUUUGUACUGCAUAUACAGUACAAUCUCAAUGAUGAAAACUAAAUUUGGUCUGAACACAUUUGAAGCAAAUUAAAGAGUUUUUAGUAGGUGUCUUAUGCCAUGAAAAAUUAAAAAAAAAAAAAAGACAGAAAAUAAUAAAAAUUUGAAAAUGAGUUGAAGGAUUAAAUAACAGGGAGAAUUGAACUUCAAUUUUGGGCCAUUUAGCCAAAAGUUUGGUCUGUGGGCCUCAUUUAUUUUUUUAAAGUAUUUUCUAUGAGGCUUAAGGUUCAUUUGGGUUUUGAGAAGAAUAGAUUCAAACUUAAAAAAAUAGUGUUGACAGAGAAGGCUUUGGUCGUUGGCCCAUUCAGACAACUAGAGGAGCAUGGAGAUGAUUUUACAAUUUUUAAUAAUUUACGAGAGACUUUAGGAAAAUAAUUAAAAUUUAAUUGAGUUAAAAUUAGCUCCUAAUCAGCCUACGAAAUCCAAAUUAACCGGCCAAACUAAGGGAGAGAGGGAGAUUUUAUUUUCUUUUUUGGGUUUUCCUAUUUAUUCAUCUCAUUCUCUCUCAAAAUCCUAACUUGAACACAUACUCAAAGUUCCCUUUCAUUCCAACCGACCUUCCCAAUCUCCAUAUUCUAAAAUUCUCUCGACUCACUCACUAAGAAAAAUCAAGAAACCCCCUCUUCCUUAGACCUAACCGCUGCCCCCCUCCUCUUCUCGUACUCCCAAAUUUCUUCUUUUUUUUUUUCAUUGUUUUAAUAAAACAUAAAUAAUUUCAAAAAUAAGUAUUCAUGAUAUAAAAUCAACUUCUUUCAUAUUAUUCACUUUAUUUUAAUAUAUUGAUCGCCUCCUAUAUUAAUUUUGAUGUGAAAUUUGAAGGUAACACCAUUUUUGUGCAUGUUUGGCUUAGAGGCACCUACAUUAUGAACCACUGAACCACUUAUUUUGAAUAAUUAUUACAUUUUAAUUCUAUAUAAUUUCAUAUAUUAUUUGCCUUGAUAUAAUUUUCUACAAUUGAUUAUGAAUUUUUAAUAUUUAAAGAGACAAUGAAAUUACAUUAAUCUAUAUCGGCAAGUAGUAGGGGUGUAAACGAACAAAACCGUUCGUGAGCUAUUCGAAGUUCGAUUCGAUAAAAUCUCGACCGAGCUCGACUCGAUUUCUAAACGAGCCAAGCUCGAGCUUAAUUUUUAGGCUCGUUUAGUAAACGAGCCAAGGUUGAGCUCCAUAGUAUUCGACUCGUUAAGGCUCGUGAGCUCGGCUCGUUUUUGAGUUCAUGAGCAGGCUCGCGAAUAGACUCGUGAACAGUCUCGUUAAGCAAACUGAAAUUACUAUCAUAAGAGAAAUAAACUCAAACCCUGCAUAUAUUUUAAUGAGCAAAAUCUAAAUUUUUUAAAAUUCAGCUCUAUAUAGUUUAGUUACACUCUUAAACUUGCAUAUAUUUGGAUCAUUGGGAUUUAAAAACUCAUUUUUAUAAGCUUACAUGCUAAUUUGUAGAUAUACUUAUUUAACUAAAAUUAUUUUAGUUUUAAACUUAUUAGUUUUAAACUAAAGUUCAUUAUACAUGUAAAUAAAUUAAAUUACUCGUGAACUAUUCGAGACUCAGUUCGAUUAAAGCUCGACUCAACUCGAUAAAAGCUCGACUCGUCUAAGCUCGUUUGUUAAACGAGCCAAGCUUGAGUUUCUUAAUACUCGGCUCGAGUUCGAUAUGAGUAAAGCUCGAAUUCGGCUCGAGCUCGAAAAAAUUUUAACGAACCAAGCUUGAACUCUUCAAAUCUCGGCUUGGCUCGGUUCGUUUACACCUCUAGCAAGUAGCAUGAUUUCAAAGACAUGUAAUUUGGCCUUCUAUUCGCAAAAUAAGGUGACUUUUGAGCAUAAAUUAAGUUUUAGAAGUGAACUAAAUUUCUUAUACUUUGAAUUUUUCAUAUUUAAAUAUGUGAAUAAGUGGUAUAUCGCAUACAAAAUCGAUGUUUAAAAUUUAUCAAUUUCUAGAAUAACUAUAUUGCAAAGUUCAUAUCUUGAGUUUUAUUAAUGAUUUUGAGUUGAUUCUUUUCUUAUUGUUUUGUUCUAUAUUUCUAGUUUAUAAAAUUUUAAAUUUUUCUGAGUUGAUUUAUUAUUUUUUUAAAAAUUUUAAAUCUUGAUAUCAUAAUCUACCAUGAUCAGGUAUGCUCAUUAUAGUAUAUUCCUUUUGUAUUAUUUUAAUUUUAAUUACAUAUUUGGUGUUUUGAUUUUUUUUAUAGUAUAUUCUUUUUGUGUUCUUUUAAUUUUAAUUACAUAUUUGGUGUUUUGACUUUUUUUAUUUGUGUUAUUAACAUUUUUUUUUGUCUUAGAAUAGGAGCUAAUGGAGGCUAGAAUUCUCCUUACACUCUUCUUGGCUGAAAUUGUAUUUCCAAAUUGGGAGAUGAUUUUGCUUACAUUAUUUGACUAGGAUAAUCUUCUUUUUUUUUUUAAUUUUCAAAUAUGAUUUGGUUUAUUUUCUUUGUUGUAAUUUUAUUUUAUUUUAUUAUUUGCUUCUUAUUUUAUUUUUUCCUAUUAUGAAAAUUUUAGUUUUGGUAAUUGAGCAUCAAAGAAAGAAGGAUAGCACAUUCUUGUCUUAUUUUUAACCAUGGCCUGCGCCCUCUCCCAUCCUUGGCUUGAGUUGCUUGUUUUAGUAGAUCAAUGGUUGAUCCAAGCAGCCCAUGGGCAUCUUUGAAGACUCUUUGCAAAGGGUUAUGAUUUUAAAGACUUUGUAAUAAUUUAUUUUAAAUUAUUUUAAUUAUAUUUAGAAUGUAAUUAGUUCUUUUCUCCUUCCUUCUUUGUUUAGUUGUAGGGUUAGAUUGUAAUGCUUUUCUCCUCCUUUUUUUUUGGAUGUUUUAAUUAAUUUUUUGCACCUCACCUUAACAUGCAUGAAAUUGUGAUUAGUAAACUUAGGAAAUCACUUAGUAAUUCUAUAAGAAACUUUGCAUGGUUAGAUAUAUGGUUGGUAUGAUUAGGAGUGUUCCUCACUUUGACAUGAAAAUGUCUAAGUAGUAAAAUCCUUAGGACAAGUUAAAUAUAAAAAUGAGUUUAAGAUGCAUGCUUAGAAACCUAGUGACACCUUUAUUUACUAUGUGUGUGGGUGUAUAAAUUCUCUAGAUUGUUUAGAGGUCUCCUCUUUCUAAAACAUUACCAUGGGAUUAGAUAUUUUAUUCACUCAAUGAAGAGCAAAGGAAAGGAGUCGCUAGCUUAUUAAGAAUACAAAAUAUGUGGUUAAGAGACUUAUUUUCUAGUAGAGGUCCAUUAUCCUUCAUAAUCCAUGACCCAAUAGUCUAGGUUUGGGAUAGUAAGUAAUAGAGAGGAAAGGUGUUAGGUAUCCUUCUUGCCUAAAACUUACUACUGAAAACCUAAACCACUAGUGAACCCUUUGGCAUCCAACUUCAACUAAAACAUGUUUUGCUAGUUCCAUUAGACACUUGGGUAUGAUACUAAUAAUUGCUAUAGGUUCAAGCAUGAAAUUCAAGAUCUCUUUGAUAGUGGGGAUUUCAUUCAGCAAAAUAAAUCAUACUAAAAAAUGGAUGGGGCAAGCUCAAGCACAUCUCCCUUGUCCUCUAAGAGAUAUUCAACUGAACGAAUAGGAACUCUGUAAAAGAUUAGAUCAAAGCUCAUUGGAGUUCAUUCUGUAAUAUGACUAAAAUUUUCUAUUAAUAAAAUUAAAAUUCGCUUUGCCUUUGUCUCCUACUUUUAUCUUGUUUAUAUUCAUACGAUUGAGAAAUCUAAGCAUGGUUCUUCCUAAUCAAUGUGCAAUUAUGUGAUAAAAGGUCCAUUUAAGCAUUGCAUCAACUCAUGCAUCAUACUAACUCCUUAUGUUGUACAACCAUCAUAUCACCAAAGUCAAUUAAGAAGACAACUAGUCCCGGCUUAAAAAGGGUGACAAACUAUUAAUGACUAAGCUGAUAAGGAUUACUGUGAUUGAAAGCUCAGAAGUUUGGGUUAGGUUUGCUAGCCAUCAUGCCUGAGAGGGAAGAGACUAGGGCUAUACUUAAUGAAUUGCUUGAUGAAGCCUUAAAUAGCAAGAUGAAGAGAGCAUAUAUGGGGAAAAACUAAUGGAAGAAGAUAGAAGGACCAAGAGAGCCUUAGAGGUGAAAGGAGGAUCCGACGGAGAAUAUCUUUAUGAUGAAGAGUGCAACCCAAAGAAGAAGAUAACUAAUAAGGCAAGCCAGAUGAAUAAGGCUUACUAUUCCUUAAAGAAGAAGAUGUAUAAGUUUAAAGCUAACUCAAGAAGCAACCUCAGCUUUAAGAGAUGAUUUAGGACUCCGAGUGUAAGUUCUAAUUGAUGAGUAAGUUUAAGAUAUUAUCUUUGCCUAAAUUUUAUAGGCUUGAAGAUCUAACCAUUCAUAAAAAGCAAUAUCUACUUAUCAUGAAAACAAUAGUGGAUGGCUAAAUUAUGUACUUUUUCAUUGUAUCAUUAGAAAGAGUUGCCAUGUCAUGGUAUUACAAUUUAGAAAAUGAUAUUAGAAAGGAUUGGGAUAGUUUGAUUGAGGCAUUCAUUGGGCAUUAUUCAUACAACACUAUGUUGGAUGUCAGUAAAAAAAAAUUGGAGGCCAUCAAGCAAAAUGAGAAAUUUGUUGGAUUCCUAAUGAGGUGGUGAAAGAAAGUUGCCUUAUGAUUCGACGACCAACAAAGAAGGAGCAGAUUAGAAUGUUGAUCAAGAAUUUAUGAUUCAUUUGCCAUGAAAAGAUGUAUUAUUUACUCAAUUUCUAAUUUUAAAGAACCUAUGGUAGCAACCUUUAGUAGAUUGAGGAAUGAAGGGCUACUUCAACCUUUGAUGGAUACCCCGCAGCCAAAUCCAUUAUCCAAGAAAUUCAAGAGAGAAUCAUUCCAUGAAUUCUUUCAAAUUUCUAGUCAUGACACUAACAAGUAUAGGCACCUUCAUCAUGAGAUCUAAGGCCUCAUUAAUGAACAGAAGAUAGCUGACCUGGAGAAUAAAGGCACAAAUAAAGACUUUGACACCUGAGAAGAUAAAGAUAGACUUGCACAAUAAAUAAGAAACAUGCCUAUGAAUAAGUCUAAUGAAUCUAAUGCAAGUAUUAAUGAAAGACUAUUUUUUCUUUCUUGUUUGAUUUCCAUCUUAAAAUUCAAAAUGCAUAUUAUUUAGAGUCAUUUAGAUCCAUUUUUAAUUAAUACAUUGAACUUUAUCUUUGUUAACAUGGGUAUACUAAAAUCCUAA
rnacentral:lncRNA from 1 species